rnacentral:piRNA from 1 species
AGGGGCUGAAUGAAAAUGGCCUUUCUGAAC